rnacentral:misc_RNA from 1 species
GAUGAAGAACGUAGCGAAAUGCGAUAAGUAAUGCGAAUUGCAGAUCUCCGUGAGUCAUUGAAUCUUUGAACGCACAUUGCGCCCGCCAGCAUUCUGGCGGGCAUGCCUGUUCGAGCGUCAUUUCAACCCUCGAGCCCCCCCGGGGGCCUCGGUGUUGGGGGACGGCACACCAGCCGCCCCCGAAAUGCAGUGGCGACCCCGCCGCAGCCUCCCCUGCGUAGUAGCACACACCUCGCACCGGAGCGCGGAGGCGGUCACGCCGUAAAACGCCCAACUUUCUUAGAGUUGACCUCGGAUCAGGUAGGAAUACCCGCUGAACUUAAGCAUAUCAAUAAGCGGAGGA